rnacentral:rRNA from 1 species
AACGAACGCUGGCGGCAUGCCUAACACAUGCAAGUCGAACGAGACCUUCGGGUCUAGUGGCGCACGGGUGCGUAACGCGUGGGAAUCUGCCCUUCGGUUGGGAAUAACUGAGAGAAAUUUCAGCUAAUACCUUAUAAUGUCUUCGGACCAAAGAUUUAUCGCCGAGGGAUGAGCCCGCGUAGGAUUAGGUAGUUGGUGGGGUAAUGGCCUACCAAGCCGACGAUCCUUAGCUGGUCUGAGAGGAUGAUCAGCCACACUGGGACUGAGGCACGGCCCAGACUCCUACGGGAGGCAGCAGUGGGGAAUAUUGGACAAUGGGCGAAAGCCUGAUCCAGCAAUGCCGCGUGAGUGAUGAAGGCCUUAGGGUUGUAAAGCUCUUUUACCCGGGAUGAUAAUGACAGUACCGGGAGAAUAAGCUCCGGCUAACUCCGUG